rnacentral:hammerhead_ribozyme from 1 species
CUCAGCUGACGUGUCCCAAAUAGGACGAAACGCGCGUCCUGGAU